UUGAAAGGGAAACGAUUGAAGUCAGUCAUGCUAGUGAAAAAUCAGUUUGACGGGUUUUGAGUUCUUGAGUAGAGGCAGGGUCAAACCGUUUCUCUUUUGGACUUGGGAUUUGUUAGAUGUACUUUUUCUUUAGCAGGUCAACGUCGGUUUCGGGGGUUGUAAAAUACUUGGGGGAAAGUAGCUCUGCUCCGGGAGAGUGUUAUAGACCCUGGGAGAUGCAGCCUGUGGGAUCGAGGAUUGCAGCAAAUGCCUUUUGGCUUGUCGCCUGUUCCUGGGUGUUACCUGUCUUGUGACAACAUUCUUGCCACCGGGGAGUACUAAUGCCUACUGUUUAGAGCGAUCGAAAAUUUCGUUAAGGAUGUUGACGUA
rnacentral:rRNA from 1 species